CUCCAGGUUGAAAUAUUUGGUCACUAUUUGCGUUUUUAUCAUAAAGUUUCACCAGAAGUGCAGGUCUAGUAAACAGGUAGACGUGUUGAGGACCAGUUGAGGCGUUUGGACCAGUUGAGGCGUUUGGACCAGUUGAGGCGUUUGGACCAGUUGAGGCGUUUGGACCAGUUGAGGCGUUUGGACCAGUUGAGGCGUUGGGGCCAGUUGAGGCGUUUGGGACAGGUGAGGCGUUGGGGACCAGUUGAGGCGUUGGGACCAGUUGAGGCGUUGGGACCAGUUGAGGCGUUGGGACCAGUUGAGGCGCUGGCGACCAGUAGA